rnacentral:rRNA from 1 species
AGUGAAAUUGAACUCGCUGUGAAGAUGCAGUGUACCCGCGGCAAGACGGAAAGACCCCGUGAACCUUUACUAUAGCUUGACACUGAACAUUGAGCCUUGAUGUGUAGGAUAGGUGGGAGGCUUUGAAGUGUGGACGCCAGUCUGCAUGGAGCCGGCCUUGAAAUACCACCCUUUAAUGUUUGAUGUUCUAACGUGGACCCGUGAUCCGGGUUGCGGACAGUGUCUGGUGGGUAGUUUGACUGGGGCGGUCUCCUCCUAAAGAGUAACGGAGGAGCACGAAGGUUGGCUAAUCCUGGUCGGACAUCAGGAGGUUAGUGCAAUGGCAUAAGCCAGCUUGACUGCGAGCGUGACGGCGCGAGCAGGUGCGAAAGCAGGUCAUAGUGAUCCGGUGGUUCUGAAUGGAAGGGCCAUCGCUCAACGGAUAAAAGGUACUCCGGGGAUAACAGGCUGAUACCGCCCAAGAGUUCAUAUCGACGGCGGUGUUUGGCACCUCGAUGUCGGCUCAUCACAUCCUGGGGCUGAAGUAGGUCCCAAGGGUAUGGCUGUUCGCCAUUUAAAGUGGUACGCGAGCUGGGUUUAGAACGUCGUGAGACAGUUCGGUCCCUAUCUGCCGUGGGCGCUGGAGAACUGAGGGGGGCUGCUCCUAGUACGAGAGGACCGGAGUGGACGCAUCACUGGUGUUCGGGUUGUCAUGCCAAUGGCACUGCCCGGUAGCUAAAUGCGGAAGAGAUAAGUGCUGAAAGCAUCUAAGCACGAAACUUGCCCCGAGAUGAGUUCUCCCUGAGACUUUAGGUCUCCUGAAGGAACGUUGAAGACGACGACGUUGAUAGGCCGGGUGUGUAAGCGCAGCGAUGCGUUGAGCUAACCGGUACUAAUGAACCGUGAGGCUUAACCUU